AAUCAACGCUGGCGGCGUGCCUAACACAUGCAAGUCGAACGCGAAAGCCCGCAAGGGUAAGUAGAGUGGCGCACGGGUGAGUAACACGUGGACAACCUGCCUUCGAGUGGGGAAUAACCUUCCGAAAGGAGGGCUAAUACCGCAUAACACCUCGGGACACAAGUUCUGGGGUUGAAAAGAGCAAUUUGCUCGAAGAGGGGUCCGCGCCUGAUUAGCUAGUUGGUGAGGUAACGGCUCACCAAGGCUUCGAUCAGUAGCCGUCCUGAGAGGGAGCACGGCCACACUGGAACUGAGACACGGUCCAGACUCCUACGGGAGGCAGCAGUGGGGAAUUUUGGCAAUGGGCGAAAGCCUGACCAAGCAACGCCGCGUGGGUGAUGAAGUAUCUUGGUACGUAAAACCCUUUCGGCAGGGACGAACCUAAUGACGGUACCUGCGGAAGAAGCCCCGGCUAACUCCGUGCCAGCCGCCGCCGUAAG
rnacentral:rRNA from 1 species